CUGCAGCCAGUUAAGCCAAAUGUGCUCUUUCCCCAUGGGGCCCAAGGUGCAAUGGCUGCAAACAGUGCCCUCCUUGGUAGUAUGUGCAGCCUGUUGCCUGUAUGAGUUGCUUCAGGGGACCUUGGAGACAGUG